AGGUAACAGAUUCCCCAGCAGAUGUGGCUGAAAAAGCAGACAGAAUUAUUACCAUGCUGCCUUCAAGUCCCAAUGCAAUAGAAGUUUACACAGGAGCAAAUGGAAUUCUAAAGAAAGUGAAGAAAGGCUCAUUAUUAAUAGAUUCCAGUACUAUAGACCCUUCUGUUUCGAAAGAAUUGGCUAAAGCAGUG